rnacentral:rRNA from 1 species
AUUGAACGCUGGCGGCAGGCCUAACACAUGCAAGUCGAGCGGAUGAGGGGUGCUUGCACCCCGAUUCAGCGGCGGACGGGUGAGUAAUGCCUAGGAAUCUGCCCGAUAGUGGGGGACAACGUUUCGAAAGGAACGCUAAUACCGCAUACGUCCUACGGGAGAAAGUGGGGGCUCUUCGGACCUCACGCUAUCGGAUGAGCCUAGGUCGGAUUAGCUAGUUGGUGGGGUAAAGGCUCACCAAGGCGACGAUCCGUAACUGGUCUGAGAGGAUGAUCAGUCACACUGGAACUGAGACACGGUCCGGACUCCUACGGGAGGCAGCAGUGGGGAAUAUUGGACAAUGGGCGAAAGCCUGAUCCAGCCAUGCCGCGUGUGUGAAGAAGGUCUUCGGAUUGUAAAGCACUUUAAGUCGGGAGGAAGGGCUGUAGGUUAAUACCUUGCAGCCUUGACGUUACCGACAGAAUAAGCACCGGCUAACUUCGUGCCAGCAGCCGCGGUAACAC